CGUCCGAAACCGCCUACUUCUCUACUAUUUAGUAGGGGAAAAGCAGUAGGCGAGCGAAUAAGUAUGUCUGAAGCAAAAAGAGUAGGCGAAAAUUACCUGCGUGACGUACUAAUUCUCGCGAGAUUCGGACGUGCGCCUACUUAAAGUGCGUCCGAAACCGCCUACUUACCUACUAUAUAAUAGGGGAAAGCAGUAGGCGAGCAAUUAAGUAUGUCAGAAACCUCAGUAAUCAUAAAAUAGUAGUCGAGGAGUUCCCGGAUGGCCUACUGCUUCCGCCCAGAUUCUGAAGUAUUCCUUGCUGGAUACUUUUCUAUUCCAGCAGGCCACGGGAGAGGAUACGUCAUAAUCGAACACGGAGGAGAAAAGCGGCGCGGAUGCUGUCAAAUGGACAGAUGAUCACACGUGUGUUUAUCCGGUAGAGGAAUGAUGCCAUCAAAGGCUUUGAAGCUUUGGUGGAGCAGGACCUGCAAGAAAAGCUGACGACAGGAUUUGUUAGAAAUAAAGAGGAAAGCCUGAAACAAAAUAAAAAUAUAUAUAUAAAGAUGUGAAUGUCCUCAGACUGGUGAGAGCACUGAGGAUGGAGAGCCACAGCAGAUCCUGGGAAUGGUUCAGUGUCAUGGACGAGAUCCUCCAUCACUCCUCCUUCCAAGUGACUCAAUCAAGGACACACUGGAGGAGACGCUGCAGAGAUCGAACCAGCAACCUUCUGCUGACCAGCUCAGUGGUUUAGACCACCACACCACAAAACUAAUGAAGCCAUGACAAGAAUUAGCAAUUGAAAAAUAUGAAAUGAAAUAUGCAAGAAACAGAAUGCUGACAUGAAUUAAUUGUAAAAUGUUUUAAUCUGCUGAUGGAGAGCACAUGAAUGUUUGCAGCAGCAGAUUGUCCCGCACAUCUUCUCCCACUCCUGCUCCAAGGUUGAGGGGUUCAGGGGUCCAUCAUCAUCAUCAUCAUCAUCAUCAUCAUCUUCAGCAGUGAGGAACAUGAUGAUGAAGGUGUUCAUCAGCUGCUUGAUCAGAAUAAAGCUGCAGAAUUGGCACAGCUGUGUUGAGAUGACAGCAGGACUGUAAAUACCUGAUUGUUAAAUUGUUACAUUUGAAUAAAGCUUUGUUUUGUGUGUUGUUGACUUGUAUAUGCAUUUAUUUGUCAUUAUUACUUUUAUUAAUUCUUUACUUAUUAAUUAUGCUAUUAUCAGUAAAUGUAUAUAUUUUAAUAAGCAAUGAAUUAAUGCAUGAAUUGACUGUAAAUGGAGAUGUAUUCACAUCAGCUGUAUUUGUCUAGUGUGUGUUCAUGCACAGCUGUCACAACUAAACAUUACAUUUUGCUUGUUUUAUUAAAGAAGUAAAAUGAAAAGUAA